rnacentral:piRNA from 1 species
UGGGACGAAGCUCACAGAAGCUCGGUGGGA